AUAAAAAUCUCAUUUAAUGAGUAUUUCUCUGGAAUUAACAAAGAACUUAUUAGGUUUCAGCUUCUUUGGUCAGAAGUUGUCAGUGCGUUAACGUGUUUUUUUUGCAUGCGACUAAGCUAAGGAGUGAUCCAUUGUACAAUGGGUUUGGUUGGUCACAUUGUCUCUCUUUACUUUAGUUGUUUCGUAGGCGAUAGGUUGGUGAAUGGAUAUGCAUGUUCAGUAUCAGUUUCCAUGUGAGGAGAGGUGAGCUUGACCUUCCUGCAUGGCAGAUAAGUGUACAUGAGUAGAGCAGACAGAGAUUCCUGCUCCAGUCUUCCUCCCUGUCUUGCUGGGUCAUGUCUGGUGCAUUUCUGUGUGCCUCAUUUCUGCUGUCAGUAAAAGUAGGUUAGGGCUUGGGAUUAUUCACAGCAUCCAAAAUUCUUCAGCAAUUCUAAACCCGUAUGAAAACACAAGACGGAAACUUGUGUGAAAAUGCCUGCCAGUGCUUUAGGCCAGCUUUUAUAUCUGAACUAAAACGUUGCAAUAAGGAGUUGCAUGUACAUACAAAUAAAGAACCUACCUCUUUUUUGUCCUUUCUUUCAACUCUAACCACAGCACAUCAAGUAUUACCAAAAAGCUGAAGGUAAGAAUUUGUGUUAGGAGAGCAUUUUUGAUUAUAGGACUUGAUGUUUGUUACAUUCUUCUGUAUUUUCAGGUUCUGAAAUGCUUUGAUGAAUGUCUCCAUUCCAUUGGAAUCAAAGCCAUUUGGAAAAAGGAAGCUAUUCUGAAUUCUUUAAUGAUACUUGUGAAAUUUUCCUCCAACUUUAACAAAACUGCUACAGCCCUUUUUUUUUCCCCCCUGAAAUGUAGAACACAGUGAAUGAGAAUAAAUAGAAGCUGGCAUGUUUCUUCAUGUGCAGUUUUAUUGGUGUGCAUGUUUGUUCAUUUGUCUGUUAACUUGUAGAAUUCCAUCAUCUUACAAAGUGGUUUGUGGUUUGGUUUGAAUUGGUGAGACUUUCCUAUUUUUCACAUUUUAACCGUUACUGACAUUUUAAUGCAAUAGGAACAAUAGAGAAGAAGAGCCACAGUUUUUUUGCAAAUAGCCAUUAGAUGUUGUGGUGCUUUUAGGAGAUUGUUCUAAGAGUUUCUUGAUGGAUUUUGGGGCGUAUUUUUAAUGGGAUAUUUCAGAGGCGCUUUGGUUUGUAUUUGCACACCCAGCUGCCAAAAGCCUUCCAGCAGGUUGGGUGACAGACACACCCCAAAAUGUCUAUCUUCAUUCACAUCUCAUUUGUAGCGUUAUCUGAAGCAUAGGCUGAUGUCUAUUUAUUUUAUCCUCCUUAUGUAUAAUACAUAGGUUGCUGCUUUCAGGAGUUCCCCCUUUACCUCCAAUGGCACAUUGUCUCAUCUCUGUUCUUUAUGUUAAAAAUGAGGAAGGUUUGGCUGGUCCCCUGUGCGUGGAAUGGAGCCUGCAGCGCGCUGAGCUCGGUUUGAUCAAAGCUGUGUGACCGCUGGAACAUACAGUGGCACACAGAUGGCUGUAUUUUCUUGUACCAAGCAGCAUUGCGUGCUGUACGCGUUGUAACAACAAUACCGCUGAAGCAAGAGGUCACAUUGAUCUACGCUGGAGUUCAUUGGUACUACGAUUUGUACUGAGGUCAGUAAUGAACUGAAACAACCUUUGCAGCGUUUGCUUUUCCUAGUGACGGUGCCAGCAGAGGAGCUGGGAACGGCCUCCUAGAGCUCUCAGGGAAACUCAUUGUUCACGUAAACCCUGGGAAGGAAUUUCUCUUCCUUCUUGGCCUGCUAGGUAUGCACUGAACCAUACAGUUUGCUUUAGCUGCAUACCAUCUGCGUUUUAUUUUUGUUUUGUUUACUGACUUUCCACCCAUGUCGGUCGUCUUUUAGCAUGGCUGUGUUGUUGUGUAUUCCACCUUCGUCAGCAACCUUGGUUGUGUCUUGGUUUGUUCACUCUGAGUUUGUUGGAUGUUUGGAACAGAGCCUUGCAUGGGAAAAAACUUGGAUUGGGUGGGAAUUCUACCUGUGUUGUGCUUGUAGGAGCAGGAUGGGCACUGGUUGCUUUAGGGUUGCUGCUGUUUGCCAUACGUGCAGUUAGAUACUGAUUGCUGGGACCUGUGGUCCUUGAGGCGUGCUGGUUGAGUGAGGAGAAAAAAGCAGCUUCUUCCUUCUGCCCUGGCUAUAGCUCUGCUCAGCAUCUGCUUUUACUUUCCCUCCACUUUCUUUCAAGCUUGUUGGAAGAAUUAUUUCUUCCUGAGUGAGUUUCAGCCUCUGUCACUGUUUCACAAUCUGAAGCUGGUACUGCAGGAAUGUCCUUGUCCCGGUGCACCAGCAGUGGUGCUAUUGGAGCUGAAGGGGACUGGUGACGUCUGUAAGCAGAACAUUCAGGUUGUGACUGUGCUGGGGCCAGCACUGAUAGUUGCUCUGGAAUAAGCUCUGAUGUUGGAAGCCAUGUAGAGCAAAGACACGUCAGCUGCUCCACUCAGACUCUCAAGGCUCACAUGCUGUUAGAGGAACAUGACCAUGUUGCUCCAGGACCCAGGCUGGAUCUGCGCGUUCCUGCGGUGUUGUGGCCAAGCUAAUAAAACCACCUAGAGAUGCCAGGAGUUGGCUUUGCAAAGAGUACUAUUGUUAUUGAUAGUUUUUCAUUAACUAGGUUACCCCAGCUUCCUGUUAUCUGGCAUAUUUGAGAGCUGACUGUGUUGUAUUAUGUUGGAGUUCCUUACUUCUGCUUCAUGGUCCAGAAGUUUGACUGGCUUUUCUUAUGAGAUAGUUCUGAGCUCUGUUUUCAGUAUCACUUAUGAUCCAAACAUGGCCAGAUUGUUUCGUCAGACAAGCCUUAAAUAUAAUUGUAACCAGAAGCUAAAUCACCGUGUUCCUUCACGAAGGUAGGUGAGAAUAAAACAGUUCUUCACUGCAGGAAAUGUCAUUUUUUCUGUUCAGAAUUUGCAUCCAUCAUAGAGUGAUGAUAGGCUGGAAUGACCACGGUUAGUGAAACUGCCUCCAACCAAGAGUUCUCGCUAUUAGGUAAAUCAAAACAUGUUAUUCAGAGGGUGACUCAUGGAAAACUAAGUAAAGAUUUUAUAAUCGGAUCCUCUGGAAAUGCUGAACGGCACAUCACAAUAAAAUUGUCAGUCUCCUUACAUAAAUUGUUUAUGUGCUGCUAAUCCUCUUAGAAUGAAAAGAGAACUCAGUGCGUCUUUGGUGCAGGAAAUUAGCAGAACCUUUCAGUUGUGUGUGCUGUCCUGACUUCUGAGAUCAGGCUGAAUUUAAGUCGUUCUGCCUGAUGUUUGAUCUAAAGAUCUCGCCUGAACCCAGGUGGAAGUUCCUACUGCAGAAUACAUCUCAAGUCUUCUCUCACGGCUGCUGAAUAGCCUGAAAUCCGCUAACUGCAAUGGAAAGAAAUUGCACAACAGGUAUUUCACUGUCAAUCCUUCUGGAGAGGAAUCCUGCCCUUCCUUCCAGCGUCCUUUACCUCUGUUGCUACGAUUGCAGUGCAAUCCUAAUUGAUCAUCUUUUCUUCCCUGCACACAACUUCAGAGUCCUGAAUCUUCCUGUUCAAUACUUGCAUGUUGAGACCAUGUUAGCAUUAUUUGCUGCAGACAGCAUUUGACACGUGUCAGAGGAUUGGUAGAGUCCUAAGUGAGAUGGUCAACCUGCUGGGAAUGAAGUGGCUGGGCUUGGGGAAAAGACAUAACCAGAGAGCCUAGAUCUUUCUCCUUUGAUGUGGACUAAGUGUAAAAGAGGUCUAUCUUUCAAAGCACUGGCAGCUUUGUAGGGUAUACUGCAGAUUCAUUGAGUUAACUUGCUAAAAAUGACUGCAGUGCGUGUAUAACCGUGUGGGCUGAAGAAUCUAAAUUGGAGUUGGGUGAAAACAGAUUUUGGGUUAACCGAAGUCUGCACUGUAACUCUGAGGAGCGUAAUGAGAGCAGCGUGGCUGCAAAGAAGUCUAGUCAAAUUUUCCCUCAUACUUAAACACUCGAACGUGGAUAGUAAAUAAAGGAGAUACUGCCCUUUUUGGGUUGUCUUCCCUUGAUUGGCCGUGUGAUUGCUCCAUAUCUUCACUCCUUUUCAAAGAGGAAGUCAAGAGGAAAUAAAAGAUAACAUUGACUGUUCCAGAGUGAAUUUGUGUAUCUACAAGCAAACAUAAAUGGUAUUGUGAAAUGGAAUGAGUGGGGCAUGGGGAAUUUCCAGAUCCCAAGGUGAAAAUGACUUCAGAGAAGUGUAGACAAGUUUGAAGCAUUACUGCUGCAAAUGAAAGCUGCUGGUUCCUUUUCUGCUCCUACCCAAAAGUUUACUUUCUGGCAGCAGAGAUGUUUAUUUUUUAAUUAUUUUUUUUUAAUUAUUAUUUUUUUCAUGAGACUUAAAAACAUGAACAAAACUGCGUGGAUUUUAUGAAGUGGGAUGUUUUCUCUUUGGGAUCAUAGGAUUUAUGUUGAAAGGGACCUUAGGAGGUCUGUAGUUCAACCUCUUGUUGAGUAGAAUUGACUGUCACUGGUCCAUUUCAACCUCUUGCUGAGUAGAAUUGACUUGUCACUGGUCCAUUUCUGUAAACAAGCGUUUCAAAGUAGUUACGAUUAUUUAGUGGAAAAAGCUUCUGGCUGAUGAAAGGCCUAUUAACUGAUCAAUUAAUUCAAUGAAAAGUUUUCAGUCAAGCUUGUCAUUAAAAGAAAUAACUGCUUUUCCAGGAGCAGGUGUGAUAGAGGCAGAGAGGAUAAAGGGGAAGAGCAGGCACCAGCAGUGAACUUGGCACUCCAACCAGUCAUCCCUGUAUGGAUUUUCACCACUUGCCAAACGUGCCUUAGACUGAAUUGUAAGUUAUUGUACAUCAUUACUACACUGCAUCUCUGAGACGUGUCUCAGCUCAGGAGUCAGCUCACUGAAGCUCAGGGAGCCUGGUCAUGUAAGACUGCUGUGGUUUGAAUGACCACUUGAAGCAUGACAUGUGUUCUGCCUGUUUGCUUUCAACAUGUGUGGGUAUGAUUAAUCAGCCUGGUUGGAAAGUGUUAUACUUCCACGUAUUUUUUUAAUUGCUGUUUUUUUCCGUUUGAAAAGAUGAAGGAAAGUACCUAGGCAAGGCCUUGUGCUUUUUUAUGGCAGGUGGUUGUAGGACAGGCUUGCUUUCUGUCACUGCCCUCUUCAGGACAGACCACAGCUCAUCUUUCGCAUCUGCGUUACGCCAUUCUCUUCAUAACUCUUUUUCUUCUCCAGUUAUUUAAGCCAUGUCUUCCUUUGCAGUCCCCUUAACAAGGCUUCAGUCCAUAGUGGUACUGAGAGGCAUAGUCCCAUCUUCAUCCUUACUCCAGGCUUGGACCCUCCUUGAGGACAGGAUUUGUGAAGCCAACAGAGAGGCAGCAGAAGAACACAUCAGAUUGCCCUUCCAACAGAACUGUGUUCUAUACUGGAUUCUGCUGUACUGGACUAGUCUUGCCUGGAAGCACUAGAGAUCUCCUGAUAGAGAACUUCACUAGAUAAAGCGUUCUAGGUAUGUCAGUAGUUCAAGUGACAUCAAAAUGUGGUCUGUUGGGUUGUUAGUUUGUAGGAACAUUCAUUUCUUAAAUUCCUUUGAGAUCUGAAAGGAGAACAAUAAUGUAAUUAUCAAAUGUUCGUUUUCUGAUUUUCUGAAUCUCUGUUUAGAUAUAAUGGACUGACUUCAGGAAGUCUGAACAAUCCCAAGUAUGACCAAGUCUCAUUUGAGCUCUGUUAUCCCAUGGAAGGUGGUCUUGCAAGGUCCCUUCCAGCCUGGUUUGUUCUGUAACGUGUUUGUUAAUCGUACUUGGUACUUGAAAGGGGAAAUAAGGUGACAGAAAUUGCAAACUUGAGAGAGAAGUGGGAAUGUAUUUCUCAUGUAGCUAAUAAAGUUCAGCAGGAUGGGAGAGAAGAGUUCCUGGGUAUCAACUGAGGCCUUUGGAGGAACAUGAGUGCGUUUACUGAAGGAAGUAAAUCUGUGACACACUGUAGAAGUAUCCAGCAGAUUUGGAUGAAGAAGAAUGCAGAUAAUCCCUCUGAAAAGCAGGAAGUUGAGUUGUUAAAAUCAGUCCUUGCUGCAAGUUGUGGCUCUCAGCACUGCUUGGCACUGCCACUUGGCCAAGCAGCAUUUUGGCACAGAACCUGACCUUGACCAGGAAAUUGUUUUCUCUGCAGCUCAAUGUCAAGGGGAGGCUUCGCUUCCCUUUGAAGGCACACCUGGAGAAUAUAGUUUUAAAAUGGAUUUUGCUUGAGCAAGUUUGUAAACGUUUGACUGGGGGACAGCAAAUGUUCUUCAGCUUUGCCAUGAACUGCCUCUUCCUUUGAUGUUGUUGUAGCUUCAUUACGUGGUGUUUACGUUACUGGGACAAAUAUCUCCAACACAAAGAUUUACGAGGCAGCUUCUGUGUUACAGAAAACGUAGAGGAGAGGAGAAACCAAGUUUUAUAUAAAAAUCUCUACCCUUAAUUCAUAGAGUAGAUUUACAAGAUAAAAAUAUAUUUUCCUGCAGGAUUUAGCCCAUGUUUUCCCUUGUAAUAUCAGCCAUUUUUCAGUUUUAAUGAAAUUGUUCUUCCUUUUGAUAAAAGCUCAGUGUGCAAAGUAAUUUCUCUUCUUAUGUUGACCCAUCAUUACAGUGGAAAGAAGGGAUGUCUGAAACUGUGGAUGAUUAUGACUUAGUUAUGGGGUGAAAUAGAAGCCAAGGGUGUAGCUGAGAGAGUGUAAGGUUUUAAUCUCUCACUGACUGCAGCGGUAGCUGGUAAAAAUAGAUUUUGUUAAAAUACAUUCUGUGUUGUUUUCUGAUGGACUUAUAGUAGACAGCAAAACUGUCUGAGGGGAUGAACCUGUCCUUUGGAUGGAGAUGGUCGUGUUUCUAAGCACGCAGCUAUAAUGAGGUAGCUGCAGGAAUAGCGAGUGAUGGCAUCGCAUCAUUACUAGCAAGGCAUUCCAAAUAAAAGGCAGACAGCCUUGCAGGUUUUUACUUCUUCCCUGUGGAACAGCUGUUGCCAUUUUGCAGAGGGGAGCUGGGGCAUGUUUUGUAGGAAGCAGCCCCAGUCAGGGUGUAGCAUUGCUGAGGGAACCAGAUAGAAAAGCCAGUGCUGUAGAGGUGUGCAGCCUGAUGUUACCUUUGACAUUUCUUCUGUUCUUUCAGCACACUGCUUAUUUUCUGGGAGCAUUCGUCUAUUUUUCUUGCAAAGGAAAUACAAAGACUCAAGGAUAUAAGUGGGACUGAGAAAAACAGCAAAGCGCAGAGAGAUAGGGACUGGAAAGAUGGGUUUAGCUGAACACUGUGUUGCUCUUAAAUAAAAGCAUGAAAGUGCUUUCAGAUACAGUGGGAGCUGAUGAGUCUACCGAGGCACACGAGGAUGCUGAAAGUCAAGUUCAGCUACUUGAGGCAGCUCCGACUCUCUGAAAAGGAUAUUUGCUGCAGGUGAACUAAGUGAAAACUCCAUUUCAUCCUGCUUUAGUGCAGAAGGAGAGGAGAUAGGACUGCAGGAUGAGAAAUGUUAAAUGAGAACUGCGGGUAGGUAGAUACAGGGACAGGAUCUGUAAUUACUGACUGACGUUUGGAAAGUACCCUUGUUCUCUGCUGGCCUCUUUGUGAAGCCACGUGAUGCCAACCUACUGCAGAGGAGCCACAGUUUGGUGCCAGCGAUUCAUAUCCAUUUUGUGGAGUAGUGGAGAUCUACAGUGAUUAACUGCUAAGUGUUGUUAUUAAUGAUUCAGAGCUUUUGGCUCCUCUUUCCAUACACGGAUCAUCAGACUGUCUUUCCUUGCCAUUUUAAAAUUAUUAUCUGAAUGACCCGAAUGUCUUCGAAGUAGCUUGAAUUUUUGUUCUGGCGCGGGCUUUACAAACAGAAUCUUUCAUCUGAUACACUUAACAUUAAUUUUGCUUUUUUAAUGGGAUUCUCUUCUCCCAAAUUUACAUGAUUGAGCUUGCAGUCUGUUGGAGAUGUUCUCUCCCAGCGAUAAAUUUGCCUGAGCAUCUCUUAAUAUGUGUUGAGCAACACGUAGGUGGCUGUUUGCGUGUCGUGCUCUUCCCCAGGCAGAUAAACAAGGAGGGGUUUGUGUGGCUGUUGUUCAAGCAAUACUUCAGAAAAGUUCCAUCCUGCCUGGAUGUCACUUCUGUUGUUGUACUUUGCUCUUGGUGACAUCACUGGUGGCAGCUAAGAGAAGUGCAUUAAUUGUUCGAUGGUCUUUGAACAAGGAUGUUGACUUUUCCCAGCGGCCAAUCGUGCACAGCCAAUUUAGUAGAAGAAACUGUAUGUACCAUAAUAGGGUUACGAGUAUGGGUGAGAGCAGAGUUAGCCUGUUCAUGCAGAUGGGAGAUAAAUAACUAAAGAGAACUGGGAGUGAUGUGAAUCACUUCUACAUUUUCCAAGUCUCCAUUGAUGCAGAUGGCGGAAUCAGCUCUGAAAUUAAAAACCCGCUACUUCAUUGAAAGUUCUUUGUGAUGAGGUUGGUAUUCUCAUAGGGAACAAUGCUGUUAUACAGGGUUGCCUCUGCAAGGUGUGGGUCCAGGUGGGGCCUGGACCCUAAACAGCAAGGGAUCAGGAGGUGUGAAGUGCUCUCAGCAGAGGUACAGGCAGAUUUCAGCUGACCGUAGCCCAUACCACAGUGCAAACACUGCCCUCGGGAUGCACUUCUGGCACUCGCAUGUGAAGUGUUCACAUUAAUUCCGCAGAAAUGAUCCCUCCUGAUUUCUUCAGAAGGCUAUUUGUGUACAUGUGGUUGUCAACUGGGAAGAGGUAGGCUCUUAAGGAGACUCUUGUUGCUAACCCUUCAUAUGCUGAGAGCAAGGCUGCACAGUGGGGGAGUUUCCAGAGAAGUUAUUUCAAGUGAAGCAGCGCUGCAGGAACAAGGGCAAUGUCAUGAGCCUAAACUCUGUGCUGUAAUAGUCACAUCCUCCUUACUGUCCUUGGGGUCCUUCCUCCCUGCAGUCAGCCUUUCUAUGCGGAAAGAACUCAGCAGUGCCCAUUUCAUCUUGCUCCUUUCACGGCCAUCUCCUCUCCAGAAAUCAAAGUCUGCGGUAGCACUCACAGUCUGGGUGGUACUGAGGUAAGCAGGAAAUGUAGUCCAGAGCUGGUAGUGCACUUUGACCAUCAUGCCCUUAGCCACGAGAUUAUUCUUCCUUCCUUAUAAGCAAACAUCCUUUUAUUUACGUAGAAGGAUACUGCAUGAUGAAAUCUACUUUCUGCUCUCUAUCUGACUGUGUUUACUUCCCAAUUAAUUUGAUAAAGAGUGAAAAUAGAUCGAUCGCUUCCUUUGCAUGUUGGCCUGAGUUCUUCACUUAAUUCUCAUACACAAGGCCCCUAUUGCAGAGCUUCGUUUGCAAAUUGGAGCAGGAUGGUUGUUAAAUGCAAACUGUAAGAGACCACGCUUGUAUUUUUCCACUUAGGAGGAGAUAGAGGAAAAUCUGCACAGUAAGUCAUUAUCAAAAAGCUCUCGUUUUCCAAGAUAGCUUUUACAGUAGCUUAAAACAGAACUUGAAAAUUGAUUCCUUCAUUACUCAUGUGACAGGGCUGUGGAGUUCCCAGCUUCCUUUUAAUAAGGGAAAGCAUCCCAAGGUAGCUGUGUGGUGUAGGGCAGAUGAAUCAUGUUUUGGAAGUGUUGGGGUGUUUUUUUUCCCUCUGACCAUAAGGGAGAUCCUUGUGGCCAACCUGGACACAGAGUGAGAUUAAUCCCAGUUUUCAGGUCUGCUUCUCUCUUCCUCUUUACAACACAGUGAAUUGGGUUGUCUCAUUGGCUUAGGCAAAAUGUGAAGCAGAUUUUUCAAGGAUUGCAGUUUUAAUUUAUAAAUACCUGCCAUUUUAUCCACUGCCAAGUUUUGCGGUGGGGUUGGUAAUUAUGCUGAGAAAUGAGCCCACCUAUCAAAGCACUUGCUGUUCUCAUUUCAAAGCCGUCAAAACAUGGUGGGCACCUACUGGGAAGAAGUUUGGUGCCGUUCAGUUGAAACCUGCAUUUUGGGGCAGCCAUUGCUUUCAGUGGCUUUGAAAAUGGAGUUCAGAUUCCUUUAGUCUCCCAAAACUCCUGGCUUCCAAGCAUUAAUGUGUCCUGCACCCAUAUUUCCAGAGCUUAGUCCUACAUAGAGAGUGAAGACAAAGUGUUGGGGUUUUUAUUUUGCCGCAAUGCUAAGGGUGAGUUGUCCUUCAUUGGAAGGGGUGAGGCGAUGCUGCUUCUUCCAUCUGGACAAGAAGUCUUUGCUGUUGCCCUUAGGGUUUAUCAGCAAACUUUCUUUCCUGCUCAAAUUUAAAUUGACAUUCUUUAUUAUUUUUUUUUCCACCUUGACAUUAUUGCCAGUUCCAAGGACUGAGUCAGGUGCUGAAGCGAUAAUAGUGAAUUUUUAAUCCUCUUUUUAUUGAAAUUGCAUGGGGCACGUGGGGUGCGAUGCCGUGACAAGUAGAGUCUCUGUGUGCCCACGAUCGUUACAAUGGUGCUGAAUUAACUUGUUCUUUUUGAGGGAAUGUUGGUUGUGGCAGAUACAUGCUUGUGCUCAUGCACUUCUAAAGUGGGUUGAGUGAAAUUAAGAAACUGGCAGCAAGAACAAGCAAGAAGCCUAAAGGAACUGAUGCUGCCAAAUGUUGGCAUCCAUGUCAAGGCUGGUACCAGGGCACAGCUGGGCAUACACCAAAGCGUAUCCAGCACAGGAGAUGACUUGCCCAUGAAGUUGACUCAGCGGGUCGUGGGCUGCUCUGUGUUUGCUUAUCUGACGUGGAGUGCUCGAGUCCACCGCCAUGGGAUGCUGAGUGCUUGGUGUUUUGGAGAAACUGGGUUCUGUAAUGAGAAAAUGUGAUGCUGUGGUGUGGGUAAAGCUUCUCCUACUGUUAGGUUGUGCCCUGAAAGCUCUCUGUCACAGUGCUGGAGCUCAGGGCUCCUGCAGUGCUGCUCUCAGCUUGCUGAUGUGCAUUGCCCUCUCACGUGCACCUUUUUUACAUCUAGUUACCCACGUAUCUUGCUUCAGCUGCUGUGGUAUCAUUUUACCUGUACUUUUCCAUCCAGUGCAGGGAUAGCAGGAUAAAACAUGGUGAUGCAGAGUCUACUGUAAUUUUACAGAUGCCGGGAGUCUCAAAUGUGCCAUCUGGUGGUAUAAACACAGCACUUCAAAUAAAGGGCACUCCACAAAUUCCCCUCGCUUGUACUCAUUACUGCUGAAUAAUUCAUUUCUUUUGGACAGAGGUGAACACUUAGAGUCCUUGCAGCCCAUCAGUAUUUGGAGUGUGUGGAACUGAGCUCUUUGAGGGCUAUUUAAUCAGAAGGUGCAGGGAAUUUUGUAGUACGUUUUAAUACGUGCACUCUCAGGAAAUCUGAACCUUCAUACCAAGAAAACUUUAUGCUGGCGUUGCCUUUCCAUUGAGCGGCCUUUGCAAACCAAAUAAAUCUUAGGGUUAAAACCUUUGUGGGGGGGAGAGGGGAGCAAGAAUGGAGCAGGAGAUAGCAGCAAUAAUGUGAUGAAUCAUUGCAUGGUCACAGAACGCCAACAGAGCUCUGUUGUGAGGAGCCUUGCCUUUGCAGAUCAAUGCUAGGACAUUCUGCACUGCAGCUUGAACCUGAACUACUUUCUCUCUGCUAAAGGAGGCUGUGCCAAAUUGCAAAAGACUCAGAGAUCACACUGAAAACCUACUUCAUCAGCAAAAAUAGGCCUCACAGUGAGGAGUGUUAAAAGGCAGUAGGUUUACACCGUAGUUUGGUAUGUACGUGCAGUGAAUUAUGGUCUGAAUUAAUCUGUCCAGAGUGUUUGUCUUUACUGUUACCUUCAACUCGAGCCCUGGCAUAGAAUUCAGGUUGUGCAGGUUGAAGUUUGUGUGCUUGCUGUUCCUAGGAUUUUUACCUAGAGGUCAUUGUGUCCUUUAUUACGGCAAGCACGGAACUUGCCUGCUGUUUGCACUGGAUUAUAUGAUCCGUCUGUUGUAGCUACCAGAGUAAAUCAGGAGAGUAAUUCUCUUUCUCUCCAUAUCCCUCGAGUUGUCGUUUUAGUAGUUGGAAUAUUGGAAUGGAGCCUCUCCUGUCAGCUCUUGCAGCUCCUUUGUGCGCAGUGCUUGCAUGAAAGCGUGUGAGACCAAAUGUGGCAAAAAGAUUUCCAACCUUGGAAUUGCAAACUGCAGAUAAUCUGGGAGAUGAUUGUAGAAAGAAUUAGAGAAGUUAAACAUGUAAAAAAUAACCAAGCAAGCCAAGUGGGAAGAAAACCAAGUGAAGUGCCAGUAUUAAGUGCUGGAAGUGCAUCUGUCCUAACUUGAGGUCUGCUUAUAUAGCUUGGAUAAAAUGCAGGAAGAGGAUUAAAAGAAACCAAACCUGGAGUUGAGCAGCAUCUCUUUGGCAAUCUCUUCCAAAGAAGAUUGGAGUGCUGCGCUGUGCUGAGCGCCAUUCAGAAAGGUGAGGUUGGGCUCUGCUUGCUUAGUCAUCUCAUCACCUCAGUGCUUGGGUCUGUCUGUUCCCAGUGCACUCAUACUGCCAGCAUUGUUUCUGGCCUAAACUUCACAGCCUGCACACCUCAGGAACCCAUAGGAACAGGCCCUUAAACAAGAUGAAGUUCAGUUUGCAUCUGGUUUAGUCCUUGCGCUGCUGCAGCAUGGGGGUACAAAGCAGGAUGUAGCUAAGGAGAGAAACCCCAGUGCUGCCCAGGAAGUGCUGUAGAAAGCGCCUGUUUUCAUCACGUGAGAAUGACUGAUUUAUUGAUAGUGGAGCGGGUACCUUGGCCUUGUUGGCUGUGUCACUGUGUACACCAACUGCAUCCGCUCCAGGGAGCAGUGCUUUCCCCCCAGCCUACAUGCAGCAGAGAUGUUUUCCUGAAGCAGACCUUUUUCAUGUUCUCUGUGUUUCAGUAAUACCGCUAUAAAACAUCACUUGCAAGCUUCCAUUCUUGUUUGCAGGCUAACUCACCCUGCAAGCAUGUAGUCUUGCUGCUUCUUUGUGAAGGAAGAGAGCAGUGAGCUCCUGAGUAUGAUGGGGGCAGCUGAGCAAGAUCAUAAAGAUAUACCCUUACUGCCACUGCACGUUUAUUUUUAUUAAGAAGCGUGGUCUUAAAUCAAUAAAGCAGAUGCUCCUUACCUGUCACCAUUCCUUGGGCUGAGAACAGUUCGGUUUUAUGGCAGGAUUUAUUUGACUGUACAAAUGGGAUGUAGCAUUUGACUGCAGUGCAGAUCUUUUAUUAAUAACAUUUAACAUGUAGCAAUGUAAUUUCUUUGCACCUACUGCUAUGCUGGCUUAAUUUUAUACGAAUUAAGUUUCUACUUCCUUGAAGGCCUUACAUAAGCGUUAGCUGGGAAGCAAUCCAUCCUGUUCAAUUGCAGUAAAGGAGCCGACUCAGAGUGGGCUCUAAGAAAUAGCCAUAAACACGUUUAUAUAUAGACACUGCUAUUAGACAAGAAGCUUGCUGAAGAAACCUUUCCUAUCAUCUAGGAUCUAGUAUAUGCCAUGGAGACUGUUGCAAGCAGGUGUUGUGGUAGACAGAGGCAAGAGCUAAACAACAAGAACAUCAUCUCUGUAAUGACUGCAUGCAGAAGGAGCUGAGUAUCCAAUGGCUGUCUGCUUUUGCUGUAAGAAGGACAUUUGAUAAAGGGAUUUGGAAUCCUUCAGCAUCCCACAUGUGCAAAUCCAGGUGCCGUGCAUGUUAUAUUUGGAUUUCUGCGUUGUUUCGGAUCCGUUUCGAGUCUGUUUGGCAGCAGCCUUGUGUGGUUUGACCCUUUGCUUUCAUCGCAUGUACCCAAUUGUAGGCGAGGUGUGACAGCCCCCUCUCCCUGUUAGUCCCUGCUGAGCACCGAGCUUGGGAACAAUGGGAAUACAAUGGGAAGAUGGGCUCUGGGAGUUCUGUGCUUCCUAACCAUGUAGGAUUCGGCUUACCUUGGGCAGAUCUCAUGGAUGGGGCUCGUAUUUUGAACAGGUAUCUGUACAUCUGACCAGCAGCACAGGGGCUGUUUCCUAAUCUUUGUUGCCAGCUUGCAUUCAGCAUCAUUUGUCGUGUGCUCCCAUAGAGUUUGGGCUAGGUGCGGGACAAAACACGGGAAGGCUUGUGCUUUUGUGGUGGAUUUAUAAGGGUGAUUUGUCAUUCGGUGCCUCCCCUCCUUCCUAAUGAGUUGAAUAGUUAAAAUAUGUUAAUGUCAGUAGAUGUGCAAGAAAGGGUGAAGCAAUAUACUGACGCGUUGAAUAAUUAGAUCAUCUCCCAUGCAGGGAAGAACUCAAAUAUGAAACAGAAACAAGAAGUGCCUUUUUCCCUCCCUGUAGAGGCACCAGGUCUGGCUCCUUCAGCAUGCAGAAGCAGGUUAGACAAUUACAUCUUUAGAAUGAAUUCAUUUUUGUCAGAAUUCCUGAAGAUGCAAAGCAUGAUGUGUUCUAAUUGCCUUUUUUUUUCUCGCCUGUUUGAUGUUGUGGGUUUUCUUCGCUUUUGCAAAGUUGGAGUCUUGUUCUGGAUGGCUGAAUUCAUGAGCAGCCUAUUUGUGAUGGAACAGCACAAAAGUGUGAGCGUUUCUGGCCUGGAUUCAUGAAUACCAUCCUGGUUAACCAGGAUUCCUUGCUGAAAUCGUAGUGAAUUAGCAGGAAUCAUAUAAAGGGAAUUUCAUAAAGGCGCAGGACAUUGCGGAUGCUUUCCUGUAGCAUUUUAUUCUGGCAUAAGGAUGCUGUAUGUUUCUUAAGAAGCCUAUAUCUUUGAAACAGGAGCUGCUUACUAACCUCAGGGAUGGCAGCGUGGUGGUGGGAGCUGCUCUUGUGCGGUCUGUCCCCGCUCUGGCCCUGCUGCCACGAGCAGGCGUGCUCAUUUGUGAGGUUUCCUUGUUUGAUAAACAUAACACUUGGCUUUUGUUCUCUUACUUAAUCAUUUCCUUCGAAGAGUUAACUUCCCAAGCAGCCACAGAUUAGUUCUGUCAGUUGUUUUAAUUGUUUUUCUUGUCACGCACAGUGGAGGUCCAGUGUUUGUAAAAUGUCUUCUUUUAUUUUGUCCCCCUUUCCAUCGCUGCCUCAACGACGCUGGCAUUGCAGGCUGAGCUGUAAGGCUUGCUGGCAUCUACUCAUUAUUACUGAGUUUCACUUCUUUGAAUAUCAGUGCUACAGAACAGAGUACUUUUCCCCGAGGGUGAUGUGAGCACUCCGGUAUUUUCUAUUUCUGCACUUUAGCACUGGGCUUCCACGUGCUCACCGCUGAGCAAUUUCCUUUUGUACUGCUGACAGGUGACUCAAAAGGCAGGAGGAGCAGAUGUCUGCGGCGUCCGCUGGUGGCUGCAGCCUUAGGAGAUGAGUUUUGGAAUCCCCAUCAAAGUCAGGAUUAGGCUCAGGAUCCUCCAGCAGCGCCGAGCCCGCCGGGGGAGUGCAGAGGGAGAGGAAACCAUUCACAGCGACUCAUCGUGUGGUUGGGUGAUUCAGGGGUCUGCUGGUGACGGUCACAGAGGCACGUGGCUCACUGCACCGUCUUUGUCUGCUGUGCAGGAUGCAAACGGUCUCCAAACAUUAAUUCUACCCUUUUUGAUUUUUUUUUUUUUCAUCCGGUGAAUUAUUUCCAGGAAGGAGUUUACUGUAUUUUUCUGGAAUGAACGUUGUGAAAUUCUUUUUCUUUACAGUGGGCGAGUUUUCAGCUGGUGAUUUAUCAACCAAGUAUUUUAUGGGAUCGCAGUUAAAGGCUCUUCUAUAACAAAAAAAAGACAACCCGGCGCGAUAGGGAAAGUAAAAGUGUCUUGGUUUCCAAAUGAUGGAGGAAUAACCGAAAGAGCGAGUUCUUGGAAUAGUAGCUCCAUUGGCACUCGUUGGUGAUUUCCUGCUCGUUUGCUGAAAGAAGCACUUGGUGAUGUGAGUAGGUGGUACUAAAGGGUUAUUACGAAACCAAUUUCAACCAGACAUUUGAGUCAUGGAUCGGGAAGAGGGAAAGCGGCUUCCGAGCUUUCUCUUUGUUCGAGCUGAGCGCACCAGAGGCACGGGCAGGAUAUUCUGUAUUGGUGUGGAGAAGGAUGGAGCAGGUCUGGUGCAUUCGGUGAUGCUCCCUUCCUCGUGCCACCGCGUGCUGCCAUGGGCAGCGAGGAUGUGGGCUGCAGGAGAUGGCGGCAGCACGCAAGGUGCACACGGAGCACUUCCCUGCCUGUGGCUCGGUUUGAAACACGUAAGUAAUUGCUCGUGGCUUCUCCCAGACGUGAGAGACAAAAUGGAGCUGUGUCAGGAUGAACGUCUGCGCCAGGGCAAGCUGGUUUGUUGGAGCAGUUUGGUUCUGUUCUGUGAGCAGCUGAGCUGCCACUGGCAGCAGACAGUUGGCUUCUCCAUCAGGGGAAAAAAAGAAGAAAGAGGGGGUGUUUAAGGGAAAUGGUUUGGCUCCUAAACCGAAGGAAUUGUUGACCUACUGACUCAGUUAUGAAGAAUCAGGGAAACGGUCUUAUUGUGGUUUCUUUUGUUGGUGGCAGAUUCAGAAGACAUCUGUGAGCGUACGGGUAGGACUAGCACAGGAGAGGUGCUUCUGGUACCUGCUGCUUGCUGCGUGGAUUUUGUGCCAGGCAGGAGCUGAGGUGCUGACUGCUCAGCAACACCUAAGCUUGAUUUCUGAUGCUUUUCCUGAUAAUGGCAGUGAGUGCUCCAAAUGAUGAGAGGAUUACGUUGCAGGACUCCAGAGAAGAGUUUUUUGUUUGCUUUCCAUAAAACCACCUAAGAAUCUCCAUACAAGCUAGGGAUAUUGAAGCUAGAGCCUUAGCCACCAUCUCUGCAGUGGGCUUGGUGCAAGCAGAUGAGUCAGCAGCAUUCAAGCGAGGAGGAUGGACGGCCCUGAGAGCCACUGCCACCGCUGUGAGCAACAUUCAGGUGUUUGUUUAAAGCUGCUGAUUCUUCCUCAGUACCAAAACUACUGACUUGGAGACAAAGAGAAAGGUGCCAGCAGGUCUCUCUGCGAGAGAAUAAGUGUUCCACAGUUUAGUUUUCUAACAAUGGCCUGGAGAAAUCCGUGAGGUGCUGAUCUUCUGAGAGUGACUUCCCUAUGCUAAAGAAAGAACGUGUUUUUGAUGGAAAACCUACCUAUAAAUGAGAACAAACAGAAAGUGUCACUCCUGAUGGGAAGGGUCAGGAAUACUUGGAUCUUCAGCUAGAAGGUUUUCUGCAGCCUAUUGACCAGGUUGAGGACAACCUUUUUUUGUUCAUAAUGGAUUGUUCAGAAAAGAAGACAAGUGGACGUGGUAGAAGCUGUUUUAUUUCCUAAGGUAUAACACAUCUGUGUCCCUCUUUGGUAUCAGGUGGUACUUGCAAAUACUUUGCAGCAGUGGCCAUUAGUCCUUUCCUGUUAGAAGCUUUGAGAUGCUUCAGAAAUGAAAAGUAUAAGCAUGUUAUGCAUACAGGACAAAUGAAUUGGUUAUUUUGAUUAGUGGGUAAUACUGGUCCUUAUUCAAGGGCCAUUCCAAAGGAAAUUCCCCCAAUUGCUUGCUUGGUAGAUCUUUUCAUUAGGGCUAAACAAAGGACAGGAAGGAAAGCGAGGUAUGUGAAGUAUUGUCAUCAGUGUAGGAAAUUUUAACAGUAAUGAGGUGUCAUUAAUUUCCUUCCCCAAGUGACUAAACACUUUUUCUUGUUACCUGUUUAUGUCAAGCCAGCGCAGACAUUGUAGUCAUUAAAUCGCAGCUAUAAAAGCUUAGGUUGUUUCUUUUACACUACCAGCUUUAAGAUAACAGAAUUACUCAGAGAAAAAAAUAGUACAGGCAACAGGCCGGCAGUGAAAGCUGGGCGUUUUUAUGAAGACCUGUUAAAAACUUUAGUAAGAAUCUCAAAGUUUGAUGUAUUGAUUUUUGUCUGUAAGUUCAAGAAGUGUUUCAUUGCAGACUGAAACUCUCAUCUCUGUUUCUCGUGACCAGCUGAGCAAGGGAGAUGGGAUUUGAUGUUAUCCAAGGUGCGAUUGCACAGUUCAUGUCUCUUGCUAGCACCAGCUUAAUAAGCUUCUUCCUACUCCCACCCAUUCAUUUCCAGCUCAGCAGCAAUGUGGUGCCAUCUCUUUCCUCACCGUGUGCAAACCCAGGGCUCUGAAAAUAUCUUAGUAAGGCAAAGAAAUGCAAAUAAAAGCGCUUUUUUUUUCUUUUAUUCUUUGAAUCAGAAUCAUGUGAAUGGUUUUGUUUACAGCGUGGCCCAAGGACAGCUGCGUCAGUACAACUGGAGGUGACAUGAACUGCAGCAUCAGAGGCACAGCAAGCACUGGAGGGUGUCCCAAUGUUAAGUGGUCUUGCUGUCAGCAAAAACCUGCUCUGGUACUGUAUUGAAGUUGGAGGGGUUUCACUAGUUAUAGGAAUAUUUAUUGAGCUGUUCAUUUGUUUGUUUGUUUUAAAGAUUAAUAUCUUGGGGUUUUUUUGUUGUUUGGAUUUUUUUUUUCACAUGAGAUAAACCAUCUAUCUGAGAAAUAAGUCAGCUUUGUGGACAGCCAGUGGAUGUCAAUAAAGUCUUGGCAAACACAAUAGGUAUUUAUUCAGCCUUGCAAAUUAGAAACAUUUCUCUUGCUUGUUUUAUGAAGGGAACAAAAAAAGACAAAUUACAUAGCAGAUGAGCUCUCUUGAUAGUUGGAAUUCGUUAGUCUGGUGGUGAAAACGCUGGGGGAUUUAUGGUGCAGAAAAGUAAAAUAAAAGAUGAAACAGCUUUUCACCAAUAGCAGUGGUUUAAGUUCUUAUUGAAAAUUACUGGGGAAAAAACCCUUUAAAGACAUCUGUAGCUGACUUCACAUUCUCAAUUACUGUCUUGGUAGGCAGUUCUUCCCUUCCUCACUGCAGUAAGUAUUAAUUGUUUUUUCAGCUGGCACACAAUUCCUUUAUGGUUCCUCAGUCUCAUUGCCGUGGGAUAUCUGCAGCAGCUCGUAAAUGAGAUACAUGGCCAAGUGUUGAGUAGGAAGUUCACACUCUUGCUUCCCAUGCUGUAGCCAUUCUGUGAACAGAGGCUUUCUGCAAAGUUAUCAAUCUGUCAUCUUCCCUUGGCUUCACAUUUUAUUAAAAAAAGGAAUUUGAGAAGUUACAGUAAGUUGAACAAUUUGUCAGACGUAACUAACUUGAAGGCUAUUGUCUCCAAAUUACAGGCUGACUCGGUCGUGCAGCCUGUCAUGGAUGGAUCAUAAAGCUGUCAUAAGUAAAUGCUUGAAGAAAAUCCGCUUAGGCAGCUCCUGUGAUGGCAGAACAUGGAAAGGAUGCAAGACACUGAAAAACAGAGAGUUACCUGGUAGGCCUUUGGCUGCUGCUAAACCCCUCGUAAAUCACUAGAAUUAUUCAACAGCGAAACAAAACCAGAGUAAACUCCAGCCUUCCAGUGGUUUAAAUCUCUGACGUAGCUUUGCUCGUGUAAGUAAUCUCACAGAUGUCAGAUAAGGCCUCGUGAAUUCUGUAAUACUGAAGAUCAAACUGCUGAUGGUUUAUUUCCUCUGAAAGGAUACAGAGUAGUAUUAAUUUCUAACUACAGAAACAAUUUAAUAGGAAGCUUGUUCACAUCCAGUUUUUAUCUAAGCCUGUGAAUGCUGAGUAUAGAAUCAUCAACAUGAAGAUGUUGUCUUCUCUGCUCCUCCUCUUACUCUCCAGUUAAACAAAGAAAUUACUGCUAGCAAAUCUGAAAGGGACAGUGAAGUCCAGGAUUUACAGAUUCAUUAAAAAUCUAAAGGGCCUAAAAGUUGAAGGACCUACUUAGGAGGCAUCAUGGAGAAGUAGCUUCGUUUUCUAUCUGUAGUUCAUUUGUUUUUCCAAUUCAGAAGUACAGUUUACAGCCCUAAUGCAAGAGUGCUUCUCCGUAUCUGUGCUCUGGAAAUGCACAGAGUUCUUAUGUGUUUUGAAAGAUGCUUUCUUCAAAAGUACAAAUGUGUUCAGUGGAAGAGUCUGCCCUUUGCUUAGUUAUUCUGAGACGUGGUCUGCACCCGCUGUGGGGGUAGCAAUAAAUGCAGAUACACACGUGCUGAACCUCAACUGCAUAUCCCUUAUACAUGGCACCUAUAACUGCAUGGACACACACUGCAGCAGUUCAGCGUUGCCUCUGACCAGGGAAGAUAUAAGCUGUGAAGCUUUAUUGCCUUCCUUGUCUCACAGGUUGAUGCCAUAUUUGUUGGACUUGAUUUUCUGGGAGGGCAGCGCUUAAGCUGCUCUGCCAACAGAUAUUCCCUGGGAACUGUCCAUGCUCAUUUGAGAUUUCUUCCAUCUUCAGCCAUGUAGAAGCUCAGUUUUUAAUCUCAGCUGGUUGUUCAGCUUGUCACUGUGGUAAACGAAGAGUUACACACCUCUGGAGGUAAUUAACGCAUGGAAAUAGACGUAAUUAAUUACAUUUCUGACAUGAUUUCCUGCUGCCUGAAGAGAACAAUUUUAACACCACUUGGCUGUCCUCAGGAGACCGCAGAUGGGUUCGUCUCGGGUGAUGUUUGUAAUCAGCUGAAAUCAGCUUGCGCAGAGCUGCCAGCAGCAAGCACAGAAUGUGCAGGUAUGACACUGCAGAAGGGAACAAGUACAGUCCUUAACUCCUUGAAUUAUACUGCAGCAGGGCAAAGUUUGAGGCUUUUUCAUGCCUUGUGAAAAUUGUUCAGUCCUGUCCGCAGUGUUAAAGCAUCAGCAUUUUGUGCACUCGCCAGAACAGUGUUAUUUUACAGCCACACGGGGCACAGCGGUUGCUUUCUGUCAUCAGAACACGCUGUGCUGUUGUGCUGCUGUUGCUUUGGGUAAUUUGUUCUUGCUGAAGCUCUGUGAUGUGCGCGUGGAGUGCUUUGCACAACGUCACCGUGAGCGUGGCUGUGCCCUCGUCUGUGCAAACACUGGGGGCUGUUUGACUUGAUUCUGUAGAUGCGAGUUGGGUAUGUUUGUUCUGCCAGCUGAGAUGAGACGUUGAAGACAGGUUAUAAAAAAUACAUCUGUUUGAAAAGAUUAAAUGGUCUAGAACACACUUGAGUAAUAGAGUUCCAAGAAAAAUCCUUGUGUCAGACUUCCUAGAAACUGUGGUGGAACCAGGUGGUAAGUGCCAGCACUGAGCAGUUAAUUGAUGCAAUCCUUACAUUAGGUUUGGGCACACACUUCUAGUGUGUUACAAAUAACCCACAAAGGGUGGACUGGUCCAUCAAUGGGACCAGUCAGCAUGUAGGGACUGAUACAUAGAUUGUGUCACAGGCUGUUACUGCUGCUACUGCUGCUAAAAAUAAUGUGCCUCAUCAUUUAGCAGGAGGCAUUUCGCAUGUUGUUCUGCUGUCACUAGAGGGGGUUUGCUGCAGUGCUUCUCUUACUCAUGUUCUUAGUGCUGUCGGGAGACCUCAGCAGACACAGUGUGUGUAAAGAUGACGGCGAUUCUGAAAGGGGGAUGAGGGUCCCCUGGUAUGUGUUGCCCAAUCUGGAUUAAUAGCAUUCUUCAGGGUAAUAGUGCUGUAAGCAGUUCUCUUUCUGUUGGUAGCGCUGUAAUAGAAAACAAAUGAGCAUUCAGUGACUCAAAGCAGAAUCAGGAAGUAAGAAAAAAAAACAUUGAUUAUUUAAUAGGAAAAAAAAAAAACAAAGAUGGAAAAAACCACCAUGGAUAGAUGCUCUUCUGAUUUAUUGUUUCAGGAAUAUGAUCUUGGCUAGAAACAAGCUCCCUCAGGAAGCUGGUUUCAUAUGGUGGUUUAGAUUUAACUAUUUAUUGUCUAGCACCAUUUGAAAUCAGUGUUCUUGGAGGAAGAAUGCCUGCUGCGUUCAUCAUUGAAAUGGAUCCUCGGAAACCUUGGUGGAGAAAGAAGGUCAAGAUCUCUGUGUGCUUCUGUUGCUAGACUUAGCUUCACCACUGAACAGACUCCCUAAGUAGGCUGUGACCUCAGACUAAGCAGCUCAGGCAGCCCUUGGGAGAGCACUGCAACAUGUGAUUUCAAAGGCAGAAAUUCUGUUGUAACGGUGCUGGCCACCAGCAUGUUUAUAGUGUUUGUAGGUGGUCAACCAGAACUUGGAAACAGAGACAUAAACACUGCAGAAAAGCAUAAUGUGGAAUUGCAACACAGCGUUGAAGACAUUGAUGUUAAAACAGCCCCUGUUGAAUUACACUCUUACAGCGUGGCGAGAAAUGAGGAAGGGAGCCUCAUUUGCUCUGCUUUCAGCGUAUCGUGGAUGCCUUUUGGGUUUUAGUUCUUUACUGCUGCUGUAAGUGCCCGUACAUACAGUGCGUGUAUCAUACAUGACACUGAUAGUUCUGGAUGCUGUCCACACCCAGGUGCUGCGUGUUUCCAUUUUCAUGUGGCAUGCUUGGCAGAUUUCAAUUGGCUUAUGUAUUUUUUAGGUCUUUUAGUAUUCAGGUGGCAGGUUGGUAGCCUGAUGCGCUUGGUGUAAUCAAUGGAAACAACCAGCAUCAGUAUCUGAGAACUGGACCACAUGUGGUAGAGCACAUUGACUGAGGCUACUCUGUACAAUUCCAAAGGAGUAUGUAACUAAUGAUUUUGAAAGUUCUCGUCUUCCGAGUCUUCGUCUGAAGUGUUUCAAUCAUGCACCAUUUUUCUAGGGAGUAAUGCCAUAGAGGUAACCAAUGAACGUUCAUCAAGCAUUUGGGGAUCCUCCAGUGUAAAACACUGUUUAGUACCUAACUCUUCAUCCUUGAAGAUCUCAGUAACCCCUUUAGAGGAUGA